AUUGAACGCUGGCGGCGUGCUUUACACAUGCAAGUCGGACGAGUGGCGAACGGGUGAGUAACGUAUCGGAACGUACCCAGUAAUGGGGGAUAACUAUUCGAAAGGAGAGCUAAUACCGCAUAUUAUUCGGUCGGCCGAUGUCUGAUUAGCUAGUUGGUGGGGUAAAGGCUAACCAAGGAGACGAUCAGUAGCUGGUCUGAGAGGAGGAUCAGCCACACUGGGACUGAUACACGGCCCAGACUCCUACGGGAGGGAGCGGUGGGGAAUGUUGGACAAUUGGCGCAAGCCUGAUCCAGCCAUGCCGCGUGUCUGAAGAAGGCCUUGGGGUUGUAAAGGACUUUUGGCAGGGAAGCGGUACCUGAAGAAUAAGCACCGGCUAACUCCGUGCCAGCAGCCGCGGUAAUUC
rnacentral:rRNA from 1 species